rnacentral:rRNA from 1 species
CCGCUUUCAGCAGGAACGAAAAUGACGGUACCUGCAGAAGAAGGAGCGGCCAACUACGUGCCAGCAGCCGCGGUGACACGUAGGCUCCAAGCGUUGUCCGGAUUUAUUGGGCGUAAAGAGCUCGUAGGCGGUUUAGUAAGUCGGGUGUUAAAACUCUGGGCUCAACCCGGAGAGGCCAUCCGAUACUGCUGUGACUUGAGUUCAGGAGGGGAGCGGGGAAUUCCUAGUGUAGCGGUGAAAUGCGCAGAUAUUAGGAGGAACACCGGUGGCGAAGGCGCCGCUCUGGACUGAAACUGAC